AGUAACGCGUGAGUAACCUGCCUUACACAAGGGGAUAGCCUUUGGAAACGAAGAAUAAUACCCUAUAAAACCAUAAAAGCACAUGCUAGAAUGGUCAAAGUGAUAGCGGUGUAAGAUGGACUUGCGUCUGAUUAGCUAGUUGGUGAGAUAAAAGCUCACCAAGGCAACGAUCAGUAGCCGGCUUGAGAGAGUGUACGGCCACAUUGGAACUGAGACACGGCCCAG
rnacentral:rRNA from 1 species